UAGCACCACAUUAUUCAGCUUG
rnacentral:miRNA from 2 species